rnacentral:rRNA from 1 species
UUUAAGCAUAUCAAUAAGCGGAGGAAAAGAAACCAACAGGGAUUCCCUUAGUAACGGCGAGCGAAAAGGGAUGAGCCCAGCAUGUAAAUCUCCGGUUUCCGGCGAAUUGUAGUCUGGAGUAGCAACUCCUGGUGCCGUGCCGGCCCAAGCAUCUUGGAAUAGAUCGCCUCAGAGGGUGAGAGCCCCGUAGGUCGGUACGAGCUCCUACACGGAGUGCUCACGCAGAGUCGGGUUGUUUGGGAAUGCAGCCCCAAUUGGGUGGUAAACCCCAUCUAAGGCUAAAUACCUGUGGGAGACCGAUAGCAAAAAAGUACCUCGAGGGAACGAUGAAAAGACCGCUGGCAAGCGAGUGAAAGAGUGCAUGAAAUUGUAUAGUGGGAAGGGAUGGCCUGGCGUAUUGCCCGCGGGUAUACACUGCUCUUCGAGCUCUUGAAUACACCGUGGGCUGGCUGGUGCCGACACCUGCGCUUGCAAAUCCCCAAACUAAGGUGUUUGGCUCUUCAAGCGCGGGUGUUGAGGCUGAUCGUCGCUUUGUUUUAAACUGCGUCGACAUAGCCCCAGCUGAAGCCAGUCCAUCUACCCGUCUUGAAAACACGGAA